rnacentral:lncRNA from 1 species
UUUUGUUGUAAUUUUACACCAUUGUGUAUUUGAUAGUACAUACAAGUUCAGAAACUCAUGAACUUCAGGAAAUAUUACAUGCAAAACGUCUCUGAAAGCAGUUUGCACUUCUAAACAAAUACUGAAAUGUUCGGUCAGUAAAUCAUUGAUGCACUCAACACUGGGUUAUUUACAAUGAAAUAAUUAAAGAAUAAAUUCAAAAUCAGUUCAUAAUUUAAGUGCAGAGUCUGGGGUCAGUCUUCAUCACUAGAAUCUGAAUCCUCAGAUGAAGACGAUGUACUAUCAGAUCCAGAUGAAGCAUCUGCUUUCUCUGAACCUUCAUCUGUGCUGUUUUCAUUGUGAGAGCUUGGCUCUGUUCCCCCUUUGUCUUCCUGAUCUCUAACCCGAGAAUUUUCCUCCUUUUCUUCUGUAGGCUUGGCUGAGCCUGUGUCAUUACUUUCACUGUUCUGUACAUCAAAAAUAUUCGACUGAGACAAAGCUGGGAUAUGAAGAUUAAGGCCUGGAGUGAGAAGCAUCCCUGGAUAAAGUAUGUUGGACAAAAGUAAUGGGUUAAGAGAGAGAGGAUUGGCAGCUGCAGUAGCAGAGGAUGUUGAAGGAGAGCUUGAAACAGAGUUUUCACCACCAGUAUCUGUAUUUUGGUCUUCUGUCCUUUCUUUCUUUAUAUCCGCCUCUUUCAAAUCACUUCCCUUUUUAUCCUCUGAAAUAGAUUCCAUAGACUUUGUCAGAAGUCCUCCCAUGCCCAGCAAGUUUGGUAAUCCAGCCAUCCCUGACAGCAGCAUGGGGAACAUGGCAGCCAUGUUCUUAGCUUCUCCUCCAGUAGUUAAGCCAGCUGGCAUUCCCAUCAACCCUGCCGUUACUUGCAGUGACUGCAGGUUUUGCAGGUUUUGUUGUAAGGCCUGAAGACUAGACAGAUCCACUCCUGGAAGCAAUCCAUUGGUGAGGAGAGGGUUAACUGAUACGCUUGCGGCAGUGGCGGCAGCUGCAGCUGCUGUUGCCUUAGCAAUCUCACUUUUGGGGCGCCUUCCCCUCCGGCUUACUUCUUCCCGUACAACAGGCCCGGUGAGAAUACGGUCAAACAUAGCUUCUGGAAGAAAUCCAGACUGUUUUACAAUUUCUCCCCAUUCAGGAGCCACUCCAUACUCUGGAUUUUCUUUCAAGAACCUGC